CCCUUAGAUGUUCUGGGCUGCACGCGCGCUACACUGAAGCUAUCAACACGUUUUCCCUCCCUGAGAAGGGCGGGUAACCUUUUGAAUCAGCUUCGUGGUAGGGAUCGGGGCUUGCAAUUGUCCCCCGUGAACCAGGAAUUCCUAGUAGACGCGAGUCAUAAGCUCGCAUCGAUUAAGUCCCUGCCCUUUGUACACACCGCCCGUCGCUACUACCGAUUGAACGUUUUAGUGAGGCAUUUGGACCGACGCAUCUCAGUUUAACCGCUGGUUUGUGUUGGAAAGACUUCCAAACUUGAGCGUUUAGAGGAAGUAAAAGUCGUAACA
rnacentral:rRNA from 1 species